ACAAAAGCUUUUUUGAAAGCUACAAUAAAAAUUAUCAAGUAAUUA
rfam:Enterobius vermicularis genome assembly, scaffold: EVEC_scaffold0007816